rnacentral:tRNA from 1 species
GACUCAGUAGUCUAGUGGGCAAUGCCUGAAGUUUUAGAAGUCAAAAGCUUGAGGCCACGGGUUCGAAUCCCGCUCUGGGCCA